UAAACUUGCCUAAAUUCCCAGGGGCAGGUGU
rnacentral:piRNA from 1 species